rnacentral:lncRNA from 1 species
UGUAAAUGUCAUGAAGGCUGUAAAUAAUUUCCUUGUGUCUUGGCAGAUCCCAAAUUCUUUGAUAACUUUUCAGUUGACACAGACACAACCUGCACGCCAAUACCAGAAGAUGCUUCUUUCCCAGAUGAAGUGCAAAGCAGAAAGCGAAAAGUUGAUGCAACUUCAGACAAAACCCGCAGAUCCAAACGCAACAAAAAAGCAACAGCGUGGCCUGAAAGUCCCUCAAACGGAAGGCUGCCCAACAUUACCCCUGAGAGUAGUUUCCAUCUGAGCUCAAACCCAUUCCAGCAUGUAUUACGCAUUCCCUUCAGCCCCCCUCUUCUGCCCCCUAGUGGAGGUUCACCACUACAAUUCAUCCAGACCAUCGGCCCUUAUACGGCGCCUCUAAUUGGCACUGUGGUUCCAACAGGGCCUACAUACGUGAUUGUAUCUGCAGUGUCGCCCCAAUGUGUGAGUCCAGGCACUCAGAUAAUUCCGCUUUCACCUGGUAAGUUAAAAAGAAGAUGGUCACAUGAGUAA